rnacentral:sRNA from 1 species
UGUUCCAAACAUUGCAAGGAUUAUAUGUAUAUAUAUAUAGAAAAUAGAUUGUAUAUAAUAAACAAACAAAACUAUCGAAGGUAGUUAGCUCAAUUGGUAAAGAUCCUACGCGAAGCUUAAAGGUCAUCGGUUCGAAUAACGUUUGAGACAAAAUUAAUAUUACAUACUGUGAUUUUGGGCUUGGGAAGAUUACGAGUUUCGGUUCUAGAAAGAUUAUAGGUUUCGCUCCAAAACCUCUUAAUAUUAAAAA